rnacentral:rRNA from 1 species
AUUGAACGCUGGCGGCAGGCCUAACACAUGCAAGUCGAACGAGUGGCGGACGGGUGAGUAAUGUGUGGGGAACUGCCCGAUGGAGGGGGAUAACUACUGGAAACGGUAGCUAAUACCGCAUACCAUCGGAUGAGCCCAUAUGGGAUUAGCUAGUAGGUGGGGUAAAGGCUCACCUAGGCGACGAUCCCUAGCUGGUCUGAGAGGAUGACCAGCCACACUGGGACUGAGACACGGUCCAUACUCCUACGGGAGGCAGCAGUGGGGAAUAUUGCACAAUGGGCGCAAGCCUGAUGCAGCCAUGCCGCGUGUAUGAAGAAGGCCUUAGGGUUGUAAAGUACUUUCAGCGGGGAGGCGUUACCGACAGAAGAAGCACCGGCUAACUCCGUGCCAGCCGCCGCGGUAAUUC